UGGGGAAUAUUGGACAAUGGGGGCAACCCUGAUCCAGCAAUGCCGCGUGUGUGAAGAAGGUUUUCGGAUUGUAAAGCACUUUCGGCGGGGACGAUGAUGACGGUACCCGCAGAAGAAGCCCCGGCUAACUUCGUGCCAGCAGCCGCGGUAAUACGAAGGGGGCUAGCGUUGCUCGGAAUGACUGGGCGUAAAGGGCGUGUAGGCGGUUUGUACAGUCAGAUGUGAAAUCCCCGGGCUUAACCUGGGAGCUGCAUUUGAUACGUGUAGACUAGAGUGUGAGAGAGGGUUGUGGAAUUCCCAGUGUAGAGGUGAAAUUCGUAGAUAUUGGGAAGAACACCGGUGGCGAAGGCGGCAACCUGGCUCAUAACUGACGCUGAGGCGCGAAAGCGUGGGGAGCAAACAGGAUUAGAUACCCUGGUAGUCCACGCUGUAAACGAUGUGUGCUAGAUGUUGGGUAACUUAGUUAUUCAGUGUCGCAGUUAACGCGUUAAGCACACCGCCUGGGGAGUACGGCCGCAAGGUUGAAACUCUAAAGUGAAUUAAC
rnacentral:rRNA from 1 species